UACGUAGGGUGCAAGCGUUAAUCGGAAUUACUGGGCGUAAAGCGUGCGCAGGCGGCUAUGCAAGACAGAUGUGAAAUCCCCGGGCUCAACCUGGGAACUGCAUUUGUGACUGCAUGGCUAGAGUACGGCAGAGGGGGAUGGAAUUCCGCGCGUAGCAGUGAAAUGCGUAGAUAUGCGGAGGAACACCAAUGGCGAAGGCAAUCCCCUGGGCCUGUACUGACGCUCAUGCACGAAAGCGUGGGGAGCAAACAGG
rnacentral:rRNA from 1 species